rnacentral:sRNA from 1 species
UAUUCUUUCUAACAAUAUAUUUCUUUUAUUUGAGGAAGACACCCAACAAUAUAUGUGUGAUGGAGAUGCUCUUAUUGAUUUUCUCGGUCUUUGUGUGCGCAAAAUCGAGACUUAGAUGAAAUUCGGAAGAAUUCGAGGUUUUCACUGCUAGUAAGUUUGAUGGAGGAAAGGGAAGCGAAAGGAUAUGUUAGAGAUUAAAGAUUAUCGGGCCCAUGAGAUGGGAGACCCAUAAUCCUGAGGAAGCAUGUAAUGUCUUACAUCUGAAAGAUGUGAGGGACCUUGACUAAUAUAUAAGAGAUAUGAGUCACUCCACCUAUUGCCAAUUGGUUUUAGGUUGGAAGCUCAUGUAACUUUAAAAUGGUAUCUGAGCCCGAUACACAUGCUUCAGUAAUCUGGCCGCGAUGGG